rnacentral:ncRNA from 1 species
UUUAUUAAGAAUGGUGGAGGGACUGGCCCUGAGAAGCCUAGCAACCUGUCGCAAGUGACAAGUAACAAGUGGCAAGUGAAUAGUUAAUAAUAAAGUUCCAUAAGGAGUUUUAAAUAAUUUGAAACUUAUCACUUGAAACUUGUCACUCAUUGACGCUGGUGCUAAAUCCUGCAGGUUUAACCUGAGAAAUGAGA